rnacentral:rRNA from 1 species
AUUGAACGCUAGCGGGAUGCCUUACACAUGCAAGUCGAACGGAGUGGCUAACGGGCGAGUAAUUUAUCGCAACGUGCCCAGUAGCGGGGGAUAAAUACCCGAAAGCGUAACUAAUACCUCAUACUAUUGGAGCGGCCUAUAUCGGUUUAGCUAGUUGGUGGGGUACCGGCUCCCAAAGGCGACGAUCCGUAGCUGGUUUGAGAGGACGACCAGCCAAACGGGGACAUAGACACGGCCCAGACUCCGACGGGAGGCAGCAGGGGGGAAUUGUGGACAAUGGGGGAAACCCGGAUGGAGCCAUACCGCGUGUGUGAAGAAGGCCUUCGGGUUGUAAAGCACUUUGAGCGGGGAGGCGUUGCCCGCAGAAGAAGCACCGGCUAACACCGUGCCAGAAGCCGCGGUAAUAC